AGAGUUUGAUCCUGGCUCAGAUUGAACGCUGGCGGCAUGCCUUACACAUGCAAGUCGAACGGUAACGGGCCUUCGGGUGCCGACGAGUGGCGAACGGGUGAGUAAUGUAUCGGAACGUACCUUUCAGUGGGGGAUAACGUAGCGAAAGUUACGCUAAUACCGCAUAUUCUGUGAGCAGGAAAGCAGGGGAUCGCAAGACCUUGCGCUGAUUGAGCGGCCGAUAUCAGAUUAGCUAGUUGGUGAGGUAAAGGCUCACCAAGGCGACGAUCUGUAGCGGGUCUGAGAGGAUGAUCCGCCACACUGGAACCGAGACACGGUCCCGACUCCUACGGGGGGCAGCAGUGAGGAAUAUUGGGCAAUGGGCGGAAGCCUGACCCAGCAACGCCGCGUGGAGGAAUGAAGGCCUUCGGGUUGUAAACUCCUUUUGCAGGGGAAGAGGAAGGACGGUACCCUGCGAAUAAGUCACGGCUAACUACGUG
rnacentral:rRNA from 1 species